UCCCUGGUGGUCCAGUGGUUAGGACUCUGCUUUCACUGCUGAGGGCCUAGGUUCAAUCCUUGGUCAGAGAA
rnacentral:tRNA from 1 species